rnacentral:rRNA from 1 species
UCCUCUAAAUAAACCAACCUUGGGUCUCAUCAGCUUUGGGAAGCUCAGCAGGGUUAGUCCUGGUUAACAUCUGGAUGGGAGACCACCAGGGAAUACCAAGGGUGUAGGAA